CAUGGAGGAUAUUCUGUGGCUCAGAUUGCACCGUUCUUUUGUUUUCUUUUAUUGUGAUUCUUGAUAUAGUCUUUGUCUUGAUGGUCUUGAAUGAUGGUAGCUAAAUAUUGUUGUGUUAUUUUAAAGAUUGGUUUGUAUCAUCGUAUCUAGAGCAGAUUGCAGUAAAGUAAUAACACAAAUGUAUUAAAAAAAAUUAAUUGAAGAUUGAAUAUCCAUCUGCUGCAAUUCAUUAGGGUUUUGUAAGGAGAAUCCAGACGUUUAAGCUGCUGCAAGAACCAGCAUUGCCUUGAAUUGUUUAUUAUUAAUUCACAAAUAAAUACUUUUCCAUACAAA